AUUGAACGCUGGCGGCAGGCUUAACACAUGCAAGUCGAGCGGGGUGAUGGUGCUUGCACUAUCACUUAGCGGCGGACGGGUGAGUAAUGCUUAGGAAUCUGCCUAUUAGUGGGGGACAACAUCUCGAAAGGGAUGCUAAUACCGCAUACGUCCUACGGGAGAAAGCAGGGGAUCACUUGUGACCUUGCGCUAAUAGAUGAGCCUAAGUCGGAUUAGCUAGUUGGUGGGAUAAAGGCCUACCAAGGCGACGAUCUGUAGCGGGUCUGAGAGGAUGAUCCGCCACACUGGGACUGAGACACCGCCCAGACUCCGACGGGAGGCAGCAGUGGGGAAUAUUGGACAAUGGGGGGAACCCUGAUCCAGCCAUGCCGCGUGUGUGAAGAAGGCCUUAUGGUUGUAAAGCACUUUAAGCGAGGAGGAGGCUCUUUUGGUUAAUACCCAAGAUGAGUGGACGUUACUCGCAGAAUAAGCACCGGCUAACUCUGUGCCAGCCGCCGCAGUAA
rnacentral:rRNA from 1 species